rnacentral:rRNA from 1 species
AGGAUGAACGCUGGCGGCGUGCCUAAUACAUGCAAGUCGAGCGAACGGACGAGAAGCUUGCUUCUCUGAUGUUAGCGGCGGACGGGUGAGUAACACGUGGAUAACCUACCUAUAAGACUGGGAUAACUUCGGGAAACCGGAGCUAAUACCGGAUAAUAUUUUGAACCGCAUGAUUCAAAAUUGAAAGACGGUCUUGCUGUCACUUAUAGAUGGAUCCGCGCUGCAUUAGCUAGUUGGUAAGGUAACGGCUUACCAAGGCAACGAUGCAUAGCCGACCUGAGAGGGUGAUCGGCCACACUGGAACUGAGACACGGUCCAGACUCCUACGGGAGGCAGCAGUAGGGAAUCUUCCGCAAUGGGCGAAAGCCUGACGGAGCAACGCCGCGUGAGUGAUGAAGGUCUUCGGAUCGUAAAACUCUGUUAUUAGGGAAGAACAUAUGUGUAAGUAACUGUGCACAUCUUGACGGUACCUAAUCAGAAAGCCACGGCUAACUACGUGCCAGCAGCCGCGGUAAUACGUAGGUGGCAAGCGUUAUCCGGAAUUA